UUCUUUAAGAAAUAAAUUAAAGUAACCCCUGCUCAAUGACAUGAUUAAAUAGCCGCAGUUUACUGUGCUAAGGUAGCAUAAUCACUUGCUUUAUAAUUGAAAGAUAGAAUGAAUGGUAAAACGACAUACAGCUUUCUUUAUUAAUCCGUAUUAAAUUAAUAUUACUGUAAAAAAGCAACAAUAACUAAAUAAGACGACAAGACCCUAAUAAACUUAAACAUUUAGUUGGGGAGACUGAUUAAAAAUUCCUUAACUCUAAUAUAAACAAACCUUAUAAAACAAUAAGAUAAGUUACUAUAGGGAUAACAGCGCAAUUUUUCUUAAAAGCUCUAAUUAAAAGAAAAGUUUACGACCUCGAUGUUGAAUUAAUUUCCUUAUAAACGCAAAAGUUUACACUAGUUAGUCUGUUCGACUAUUAAAAAAUU
rnacentral:rRNA from 1 species